AUUGAACGCUGGCGGAAUGCUUUACACAUGCAAGUCGAACGGCAGCACGGGAGCUUGCUCCUGGUGGCGAGUGGCGAACGGGUGAGUAAUGCGUCGGAACGUACCGAGUAAUGGGGGAUAACGCAGCGAAAGCUGUGCUAAUACCGCAUACGCCCUGAGGGGGAAAGCAGGGGAUCGCAAGACCUUGCGUUAUUCGAGCGGCCGACGUCUGAUUAGCUAGUUGGUGGGGUAAAGGCCUACCAAGGCGACGAUCAGUAGCGGGUCUGAGAGGAUGAUCCGCCACACUGGAACUGAGACACGGUCCAGACUCCUACGGGAGGCAG
rnacentral:rRNA from 1 species